GUUGUAUGGUUAAGUGACUAAGCGUACACGGUGGAUGCCUUGGCAGUCAGAGGCGAUGAAAGACGUAGUAACUUGCGAUAAGCCCAGAUUAGGUAGUAACAACCAUUUGAGUCUGGGAUUUCUGAAUGGGGAAACCCACGUGCAUAAGCACGUAUCCUUACCUGAAUACAUAGGGUAAGGAGGCGAACCGGGGGAACUGAAACAUCUAAGUACCCCGAGGAAAAGAAAUCAACCGAGAUUCCGAAAGUAGCGGCGAGCGAAAUUGGACUAGCCCUUAAGCUUUACACGCGUUAGAGGAACGGUCUGGAAAGUCCGACGAUACAGGGUGAUAGUCCCGUAGUUGACGACGUGUGUUCAGUGAAAUCGAGUAGGGCGGGACACGUGAUAUCCUGUCUGAAUAUGGGGGGACCAUCCUCCAAGGCUAAAUACUACUGACUGACCGAUAGUGAACCAGUACCGUGAGGGAAAGGCGAAAAGAACCCCUGUGAGGGGAGUGAAAUAGAACCUGAAACCGUGUACGUACAAGCAGUAGGAGCAGGCUUUGUCCUGUGACUGCGUACCUUUUGUAUAAUGGGUCAGCGACUUAUAUUCAGUGGCAAGGUUAACCAUCUAGGGGAGCCGUAGGGAAACCGAGUCUUAACUGGGCGUUCAGUCUCUGGAUAUAGACCCGAAACCAGGUGAUCUAGCCAUGGGCAGGUUGAAGGUUGAGUAACAUCAACUGGAGGACCGAACCGACUAAUGUUGAAAAAUUAGCGGAUGACUUGUGGCUAGGGGUGAAAGGCCAAUCAAACCUGGAGAUAGCUGGUUCUCCCCGAAAGCUAUUUAGGUAGCGCCUCGGACGAAUACUACUGGGGGUAGAGCACUGUUAAGGCUAGGGGGUCAUCCCGACUUACCAACCCUUUGCAAACUCCGAAUACCAGUAAGUACUAUCCGGGAGACACACGGCGGGUGCUAACGUCCGUCGUGGAGAGGGAAACAACCCAGACCGCCAGCUAAGGUCCCAAAUUACUACUAAGUGGGAAACGAUGUGGGAAGGCUCAGACAGCCAGGAUGUUGGCUUAGAAGCAGCCAUCAUUUAAAGAAAGCGUAAUAGCUCACUGGUCGAGUCGGCCUGCGCGGAAGAUGUAACGGGGCUAAGUAGUAAACCGAAGCUGCGGCAAUGUGCUUUUGCACAUUGGGUAGGGGAGCGUUCUGUAAGCGGUUGAAGGUGUGUGGUAACGCAUGCUGGACGUAUCAGAAGUGCGAAUGCUGACAUGAGUAACGAUAAAGGGGGUGAAAAACCUCCUCGCCGGAAGACCAAGGGUUCCUGUCCAACGUUAAUCGGGGCAGGGUAAGUCGACCCCUAAGGCGAGGCCGAAAGGCGUAGUCGAUGGGAAACGGGUUAAUAUUCCCGUACUUCUUACAAUUGCGAUGGGGGGACGGAGAAGGCUAGGUGGGCCUGGCGACGGUUGUCCAGGUUCAAGUGCGUAGGCUUAAGAGUUAGGUAAAUCCGGCUCUUUUUAAGGCUGAGACACGACGUCGAGCACCUACGGGUGUGAAGUCAUUGAUGCCAUGCUUCCAGGAAAAGCCUCUAAGCUUCAGAUUGUAAGGAAUCGUACCCCAAACCGACACAGGUGGUCGGGUAGAGAAUACCAAGGCGCUUGAGAGAACUCGGGUGAAGGAACUAGGCAAAAUGGUACCGUAACUUCGGGAGAAGGUACGCUCUUGAUGGUGAAGUCCCUUGCGGAUGGAGCUGACGAGAGUCGCAGAUACCAGGUGGCUGCAACUGUUUAUUAAAAACACAGCACUGUGCAAAAUCGUAAGAUGACGUAUACGGUGUGACGCCUGCCCGGUGCCGGAAGGUUAAUUGAUGGGGUUAGACUUCGGUCGAAGCUCUUGAUCGAAGCCCCGGUAAACGGCGGCCGUAACUAUAACGGUCCUAAGGUAGCGAAAUUCCUUGUCGGGUAAGUUCCGACCUGCACGAAUGGCGUAAUGAUGGCCACGCUGUCUCCACCCGAGACUCAGUGAAAUUGAAAUCGCUGUGAAGAUGCAGUGUACCCGCGGCUAGACGGAAAGACCCCGUGAACCUUUACUACAGCUUGGCACUGAACAUUGACCCUACAUGUGUAGGAUAGGUGGGAGGCUUUGAAGCACGUACGCCAGUAUGUGUGGAGCCGUCCUUGAAAUACCACCCUUGUAGUGUUGAUGUUCUAACGUCGACCCCUAAUCGGGGUUGCGGACAGUGCCUGGUGGGUAGUUUGACUGGGGCGGUCUCCUCCCAAAGAGUAACGGAGGAGCACGAAGGUGGGCUAAUCACGGUUGGACAUCGUGAGGUUAGUGCAAUGGCAUAAGCCCGCUUGACUGCGAGAAUGACAAUUCGAGCAGGUGCGAAAGCAGGUCAUAGUGAUCCGGUGGUUCUGAAUGGAAGGGCCAUCGCUCAACGGAUAAAAGGUACUCCGGGGAUAACAGGCUGAUACCGCCCAAGAGUUCAUAUCGACGGCGGUGUUUGGCACCUCGAUGUCGGCUCAUCACAUCCUGGGGCUGAAGUCGGUCCCAAGGGUAUGGCUGUUCGCCAUUUAAAGUGGUACGCGAGCUGGGUUUAGAACGUCGUGAGACAGUUCGGUCCCUAUCUGCCGUGGGCGUUGGAAGAUUGAAGGGGGCUGCUCCUAGUACGAGAGGACCGGAGUGGACGAACCUCUGGUGUUCGGGUUGUGUCGCCAGACGCAUUGCCCGGUAGCUAAGUUCGGAAUCGAUAACCGCUGAAAGCAUCUAAGCGGGAAGCGAGCCCUGAGAUGAGUCUUCCCUGAUACUUUAAGUAUCCUAAAGGGUUGUCGGAGACUACGACGUUGAUAGGUCAGGUGUGUAAGUGCUGUGAGGCAUUGAGCUAACUGAUACUAAUUGCCCGUGAGGCUUAACCAUACAACACCCAAGGGGUUU
rnacentral:rRNA from 1 species